UACAGAGGUCUCAAGCGUUGUUCGGAAUCACUGGGCGUAAAGGGUGCGUAGGCGGGUCCUUAAGUCAGGGGUGAAAUCCUGGAGCUCAACUCCAGAACUGCCUUUGAUACUGAGGAUCUUGAGUUCGGGAGAGGUGAGUGGAACUGCGAGUGUAGAGGUGAAAUUCGUAGAUAUUCGCAAGAACACCAGUGGCGAAGGCGGCUCACUGGCCCGAUACUGACGCUGAGGCACGAAAGCGUGGGGAGCAAACAGG
rnacentral:rRNA from 1 species